rfam:Proteobacteria bacterium SG_bin7 36, whole genome shotgun sequence.
GUAAACGCCAGCGUAACUAGAACAGGCGCUGUACCGAGUCUUGCAAGUCGGAAGGUAACGACCGAAGUGAAGCGUAGACAGGGAGUUUGUAGGCCGCAACGAAAGUGAAGCGAUUGAGCUCCGUCAAGUAGUGAUAAGAGUGUGGAUGCCGAGACUGUAUUGAGAGUGCGAAGGCAACACGCAAGGAACUGGAAGAGGUUCUGCGAUCCACCGGAGUCCGAGAGCG